AGGAAUCGGAGACAUCCAAGGCCAUUCCAUUUCUAGAUCACACUUAUCCCUCAAUCAAGUCAGUGACUGGAUCAUCUCCUAAGGUUUCACCUGCUUUGCAUCAGUGAGUUGGACUAUGGAUCAGGUACUGUGCUCAGCAUCAGAAAAUGGGAUGACAAUGAACAGAGUAACACGACUAUAUUUCUGAAAAAGGAUGAACUUACUGGAAACAGGAUUGCGUGCCUGAAAUAGACCCAAAUGGAUAUAAAUGUCAACUCAGUUCUGGGCUGGAGAUAUAGAUUUGGAAUGCACCAACAAUGCAGAUGGUAAUCCUGGCAUGCGAGUAGGGCUCAAGCACCUCUUACUGCCUCCUCACUCUGGAACCAAAUGCCUUACUGUAAGUGGCAUCUAGAUCUUGCCAGUGACUUUCCUGUACAGGGCCUACAGGAAAUGGUUUUCUCAGCAUUUAAGUGACAGGAUCACAGAAUGUGAAUUUUGAACAGAUCUGAAAAGUUAUUAAGUUCAACUCCACAGAGGUGAGUAAUGUGCCCAUAAGUGUGGCUGAAGAUGAGUGGCGCUAACACAGUGCUGUGAGUCCGACCCCCAGUCCAGCACUCUUUCCAUGUCGUCUAACUCGCUCUCAUUUACCUUCACAUAAAGUGACAAAGGGGCCUGAUGCGUAACUUCCUCCAGCCACUCCCCAUUCCCAGUUAUUAUUCCAAAGAAAUGUUGCUGGGGAAAAGUGAAGAUGUGACUUGAUGGGGCAAGCUGCCACUCUGCCUUCCUUCCUAUGAUAACUUACUAGUAAAUAAUGCAUUCCUUCUGGAAUUUAAUUUCACAUUUUCAAAGGCCAAAGACAGCUUGUAGUAAAUCUUUAUACUUAUAAAAAAGCAUUUUAAACAGCAUAACAUUUAUAAUAUAGUUUUCCCCUUGACCUCCCCAAGAAAUAAAAUUUUAUAACAUUUACUUGGUAUCAUAUUGUAAGGCACCCUUGGCAGUUUUCUUUUAUUGCUUAUGUUAGAGAUCUGAUCAGUGACAAUCUUUAAAAAAGAUCUCACAGAUUCAUUAGCCUCCACUUUUUUCUCUGAGAACUGUAGAAGAGUUGACUCAACAGCCCAGCAGGGGGUUGGCACGCUGGUUUCUAAGCGGCUUUAAUGCACAAUUCACCAGGGUCAGGAGCUGACCCUCAACCUUUUAGCUUAGGCACUAGAUUAGCAUACUGAAGACUGCUGGGGUGGAGUCACAGUAACUAAGUUGACAAGACUGAUUUAUAAAACCAAAAUAGUAUCAAUGUUCAAAAAGAAACAGAUCUGUCCCACAAACAGAAGUAUAAGCACCUGCAGCUCCAGCCCAUUGCCUCAAGUCCAGUUCAUACAAUAAGAAACAACUGUCACGGCAACCAGUAUAUUUGAGAGGACAUGAAUAAUGCAUUCUCUUCCCAUGAGCUAACCUACACUGGAAAAGAAAGUAAUCAGUACAAGUUGGAUUGGUGGGACUGGAAUCAGAACAAGGGAAAUCAGAGUCAGAGAAUGUUGAAUUGUGCUAAGCUGAUGUAUUCCUUUCACAAUAAGGAUGCAUUCUAGGCAGAGGGACUGGGAAUUGGAAAGAUAUUACUGGCUAUAAUCUGAUGCAUCCAUUGCACCUAGUGAAGGCUCACCAUAUGGUCAGAAUACUCGAUGCACACUGAUACAACUCUCUACAUCCAUCUCUGUGUUAGGGACAAAUGUUACUUUACUCUUGCACAGAACUUGGACAGUCACUUUUAAUAUCUGUCUUUUCUUUUUCUAUUUUCAUUACUGAUACCUUCUGCCCCUUCUUUCUGACUAAAACUCUCAUUCAAUAAAAUUAUAGUCAAAUCUUGCAAUUGGAAAAGUAUUCAGACUUUUAAAGUUAUAUUUAUAUAUCUAAAUGUUGCUCCAUUAGGGUUUUAAUUCUAAAUUUAACCUUUAAAAAGUUAUCAUAUUUUCUUUAUUUCCAGGUUCCUAGGAGAAUGUUAACAGUCCAGACCUUUUUCACUACAUCAACCAUGGAUGACUGGCAUAUAAAAUCCUACUUAACCUUUACAUAACUGCAAUACCAGGAAACAAAUAUGUCAAUAAAAGGAAACAUCAUUCAAUUUUUCUAAGAAUGCAUUCUUCCAUCAUUCCUGAAGUAGAGGUUUUUCUAUAAUCAUGUUAAGAACAUAAGCUCCUGAGGGCAGGAAUUUCUGCUUUGUUCAUUGAUUUAUCCCAACUGCCAAGAACAGUGGAGUGCUCAAUAAAUAUUAAAUGAAUAAAUAAAUAUAACCUAUAACCUAAACUACAUUCUUAAAAAAAGUCAACAUCCAGG
rnacentral:lncRNA from 1 species